GGUUAGUCAGGGAGGACAGGUGGUGCAUGGUUGUCGUCAGCUCGUGUCGUGAGAUGUGGUUAAGUCCCGCAACGAGCGCAACCCUUAUUGCUAGUUACCAUCAUUAAGUUGGGGACUCUAGCGAGACUGCCAGUGAUAAACUGGAGGAAGGUGGGGAUGACGUCAAAUCAUCAUGCCCCUUAUGACCUGGGCUACAAACGUGAUACAAUGGCUGAAACAAAGGGCAGCGAAGGAGCGAUCUGGAGCGAAACCCAAAAAUACAGUCUCAGUUCGGAUUGAAGUCUGCAACUCGACUUCAUGAAGUCGGAAUCGCUAGUAAUCGCGGAUCAGAACGCCGCGGUGAAUACGUUCCCGGGCCUU
rnacentral:rRNA from 1 species